rnacentral:rRNA from 1 species
GGAACCCGGCAUUCUGCUCAAUAGCGUAUAUUAAAGUUGCUGCAGUUAAAAAGCUCGUAGUUGAAUUUCGGGACCAUCAUGUCGGUCGUGCCUCGGUACGUACUGGUAUUGUUGGUUUCUCCCUUCUGACGAACCAUGAUGUCAUUUAUUUGGUGUUGUGGGAAAUCAGGACUGUUACUUUGAAAAAAUUAGAGUGUUUAAAGCAGGCAACCCA